rnacentral:rRNA from 1 species
GACGGAGGAUGCAAGCGUUAUCCGGAAUGAUUGGGCGUAAAGCGUCCGCAGGUGGCAGUUCAAGUCUGCUGUCAAAGACCGGGGCUUAACUUCGGAAAGGCAGUGGAAACUGAACAGCUGGAGUACGGUAGGGGCAGAGGGAAUUUCCGGUGGAGCGGUGAAAUGCAUUGAGAUCGGAAAGAACACCAACGGCGAAAGCACUCUGCUGGGCCGACACUGACACUGAGAGACGAAAGCUAGGGGAGCAAAUGGG